rnacentral:rRNA from 1 species
UACGUAGGGUGCAAGCGUUGUCCGGAAUUAUUGGGCGUAAAGAGCUCGUAGGCGGUCUGUCGCGUCGGCUGUGAAAACCCGGAGCUCAACUCCGGGCCUGCAGUCGAUACGGGCAGACUGGAGUUCGGCAGGGGAGACUGGAAUUCCUGGUGUAGCGGCGAAAUGCGCAGAUAUCAGGAGGAACACCGGUGGCGAAGGCGGGUCUCUGGGCCGAUACUGACGCUGAGGAGCGAAAGCGUGGGGAGCGAACGGG